rnacentral:rRNA from 1 species
GAUGAACGCUAGCUACAGGCUUAACACAUGCAAGUCGCGGGGCAGCAUGGGGGUUGCUUGCAAUCCCCGAUGGCGACCGGCGCACGGGUGAGUAACGCGUAUCCAACCUGCCCUUCACCACGGGAUAACCCGGCGAAAGUCGGACUAAUACCGUAUGUUUUCCAUUGACGGCAUCCGAUUUGGACGAAAGGUUUGGCGGUGAAGGAUGGGGAUGCGUCCGAUUAGCUGGACGGCGGGGUGACGGCCCACCGUGGCGACGAUCGGUAGGGGUUCUGAUAGGAAGGUCCCCCACACUGGAACUGAGACACGGUCCAGACUCCUACGGGAGGCAGCAGUGAGGAAUAUUGGUCAAUGGGCGUAAGCCUGAACCAGCCAAGUAGCGUGCAGGAUGACGGCCCUAUGGGUUGUAAACUGCUUUUAUGCGGGGAUAAAGUGGCCCACGUGUGGGUUUUUGCAGGUACCGCAUGAAUAAGGACCGGCUAAUUCCGUG